rnacentral:lncRNA from 1 species
GGAGUGCAUUUGAUAAGUGCUGUUUCCUGUGGCUAAAUUGUACCCAGGGAUUUUAAGCUUUGAUCACUUUCAAAUGGCAUGUACAUGCACACACAUGAGCGUCUCUAAACAGAGAGACUGAGCUGGAGACUACAAGAGAAGCUUUAUUCCAAUUUCUGCUCUGCCGGAACUCUCGUCUAAGAUCACUGACUUGCCUGGCAGUGGUGUUCAGGAUUUUUAAAGGAAGAUUAGCCCUGAGCUAACAUCCACCACCAAACCUCCUCUUUUUGCUGAGGAAGACUGGCCCUGAGCUAACAUCAAUGCCCAUCUUCGUCCACUUUAUAUGUGGGAUGCCUACCGCAACAUGGCUGGACAAACGGUGCAUAGAUUUGCACCCAGGAUCUGAACCGGUGAACCGCAGGUCGCUGAAGGGUAACAUGCGAACUUAACUGCUGCGCCACUGGACUGGCCCCUCUAAGCGUUAUUUUUUAAACAAAUAUUUGGAGAGAAUCUUCAAUUGCCACGCACUUUUCUAGAAACUCUGGGAGACGUGAAGAAGAAUGAAAAACUGCUCUUGAGCUUAAGGAGCUGCAGUUGAGCAAGAAACCGACUCUUGCGAGUGCAAAAAAUCAACAUAUGAGAAGUGUGUUAAAAUAAAUAAUUACAAAUUAUUGGAGGAUUUAUGAUAAAAUGGUAUCACUUUAGAUUGGAACAUUGGGUAAAAUUCCAUGGAUGAGAUUGCCUUUGGGACACAUCUAAAAGCUCACCUGUGACCACUCAGCUGGAGACAACAGACUGCCACCCUGCUGUGUUCACUGAGACAGAAGACCUACCUGCUGUUUCCAUCAAUCGCUGUGCCGACAGAGCAGUCUCGCAACUACUGUAAAAGGGACAUUUCAAUCCUAUGUGAAACAUCCUCUCUGGGGGUAUAUAACCAGUCUGUGCACCCCACUUCUUUGGUGCCCUUUCUUCCUUCGGGAAGAAAGGCCCCAGGUUAUAAUCCUCAGAUUUAAGCUCAGAAUAAACUCACCCAAAUUUUCAUUUAUAGAUUGGUUAUGGAUUAUAUUCGUCGACACUUUAGACUCUGUUCAUUGAUCCCUCUAGCAAAUUCUCUCUGAACAAACCUGAAUCACUUUUACUCAUCCCUCAUCCAAUCACUGUUGUCAUGAAGGUGAAAUAUUCUGGCUGACAGGCGUAGUUCACAUGCCCACUCUGGAGCAAAAAGCCAGAGAUCCCCUCUUCACCUGAAGCAUGCUGACAGUAAGUAGGGGAGAGGGUCUCCAAAGGAUACUGUAGUGCAGUUGUUGGAAGAACAAGAAGGUAGAGUGGGAGGGAGGGGACAAUUGCUGAGUGAGCAACAUCUACUAAGUCUACUUAAAAAUCAGCAUGAGUCAUCAUUGCCCAGACCCUUAGGUUGGUACACAGUCUGUUUACAAGGUUACCCCAAUCCACCUUCUCAGCUUCUUACUUGCCAUGUCUCUGUUGAGCAACCUUUUGCUUUAAUGGUACCAAAUUGCUAUCAUUCCCGAAAUUUUCUGUCAACUCUCCCACUUCCACAUCUCUGCCAUUGUUACUCUCUCUGACUAGAAUAUUCCACCCUUCCUCCUACAGCACUUUCACUAUCCAUGGAGAAAAUUUCCCUCAUCCUGUAAGACAUUCCUUUCAAAGACGCUUCCCUGUCUCUCUCCCAAGCAAAAUUAAUUUGCCACCUCUUUUCUGACCAUAGUCUCACCUCAUAUUGCAUUCAUUCUGGCCCUAAUUUUUUCUGGUGAAUUUUUAUUUAUUUUCCUUUCUACCUUUUCGGCUAUCAGUUGCCAACUAUCCAUUUAAAUUAAAAUGUUUGCCUUAUUCAUCCCUACAUUUCUAAUGCCUCACAUGAUGCCUCACAUGAUGAUUAUAUUAGAUAUUGGUAAAUUUGUGUUGAAUUAGAAACAGGGUAAAAUAAGAGAUAUAAAUUUAACCUUAAUUUAAAAAGCUAAAAUAUUGGGACUUACUUUCACAUAUUUUCUCAACAUAAGACUGGGCUGAGUAUUUCAAGAAAAAAGUAAAUCCCCAAGAGAUGGCCUAUUACAGACUCAUGCUGACAAUGAAAUUCACUUAUGGUUCCCUAGGUUGUAUCUAUUGUUUCCUAAUGAAUAAAUACAAUGUGUUUUACUGUUCUUGUGACAGGGUUGUCAGGGGUGAUGAAAAGGACUUUAUUCAAAUAGCUUCUCAAUAAAUGGAAGGAGAUUCCCCUGAAGGCCUUUAAGGCGGGCCUGGAAACACAGCGCUAUUUGGCCAGGUAGGCAGUUGUGAUGCAUCUGCUCACUGACCCCAGAAAGCUAUUAAAAAAGGAGCAAAGGAGACCAAAACCCCAAGCUUCCCUUUGUAAACUCUGUUUAUGUAGGAGGAGAAAGUCUGUGCUAGAUUGAUUCCUGCUUGCGAUGAGGAGUGGAAGAUCCAAGGAGUAGCUGAAGUUGAGAGACCCCUUGUGGACAGUGGGCAGUGAGAAGAGGGCUUCCGAGUUGCCGUAACUUACAGAGGGUUGUCAGGUGUCUUUUUAUAUCAUUUAUUACACGUCAGUGUUUGAUGUUCAGUGUUCUAUGUUCUAUUUCUUUCCUGAUUUUAGGAACUCAGAGACACGGAGCAGUAACCAAAUGUCACACUCUGAGUGGGAGUAAAGCUGUCAUAUGGCACCUCUGACUCCCAGACAGGCUGCUGGUGAAAGAUUACGGACUCAUCCUUCAAUGAGUUCUAUAGCUUGGAGGAAACGGAGGAAAUGCCAGAUGGUUAGAGUUUAUGCACAGGAUACAUACCCUUGCCUUCACUGAAUUUUGCCUCAAGAGUCAUAGUAACCAGCUGAGUGAAAGUCCUGAGAGCGUGACUUCAGCAGACACCGCCCGGGGGAUUUCAGCCAAGAAGCUAGAAGAGUAGAGGGAAAAUUAUUUUUCCUCCCCUACACAAUUAAAAUCUAAAAGGCACAGUGCUCACAGGAGAAGAGAUGAAGCACGAGCAUCAAAGGCACAGGCCCUGGGAAGCACAGUUAUCACAUGUUCACAUACAUAUUUUUUAAAUUUGCAAAAGGAAAAUACUGUAAGCAAAACCGGUUACUAUCACUGCCUCCUCAACUCCAACUUCUCCUAUAUCACAUUCCUGUCAUGUCAAGUGGCCUUAGACCAGCAAUUUUAGAGUCCAGCUGAGGGACAGUUGCAUGAGAGAUAUUUGUAGUUUCCAUUUAGUGGAUAUAAUUCUGGGCCUACAGUCAUAUCUGUGUGUAGAUGUGUUUUGAUUAGUCAUCUUGGUGUAGAAAUGGCUUCUGGGACUGUUCUCACCCUUGACCUGGCACUCACCUGGCAAACUGACAUGAAGGUGUGGGGCCAAAGGUCAUGCUGCAUAGUGAACAUAUUCCUAAAUGCUUAGCACUGGAAGUAAGUGAAUAAUAUAGUAGAGAUGAGGUUUGAAGCUCAGAUAACCAGAACUUACUUUUUGAAAAUUUAUAGCUCAUAUGUGAAAAAAACUUGAUCGAAAUAUUUCCAAAUUUGGAAACAGUCCUGAAAGUUUUCUUGGUGUUACAAAAUUUAUGCUGUGAAGCUUGAGAAAUUUUUUAUGCAAAGAAUAAUGAAAUUAUAUUUCAAUGAACAAUGUGACAGAAAACAUGACCACUUUUUCAGAGGGGAGAAGUUGGAAGCAGCUAGAAAGGGGUUAGAGUCAGGGGCUGUGAGCAGGGAAAACAGCAAGUUGAGAAGUUGUACUCACACCUUUUGCAGCAGGCAGGGCUGUAAUUUUAAAGUGAAAGGUUUCCAUGGCCACUGCUGGGCAAUUUGCAUUAGCAUUGUAUAUUGCUGGCAUUUUAAGUUAAAAUUACUGCCUUGGUUCAACUCGCACUGUACUUACUAAAAGAUUCUGCUACCUUACCAUUGAGAGCUACUAGUCCCCCAAAAUUGGCUUAGAUAUUUUGGUAGAACAAUUUUUACCUUUUCUUCUUCUUUUUCUUAAAUUUUCCACCACUUCUGCCUCAUGUAUGAGUUUUUCAGUCUUUCUCAGAAAGAAUACUCCAGCAGUGGGGAUAGUGUUCAUUUUCAAAAGGGUUUACGGUGUUCAAUGACAUAGAAGGUCACUUGCCAUGUUUAUGGCUGUCCCUGGGAACUCCCAUAAGGUCGGAGAAAUUGUAUCUACCUAUCAAGAGUCUUAUAAUUUCUAUAAAUAAAAUUAUGUAUCCAUCUUUAUGUAUUACUGCAUUACCCCAGAUAUGGCUGGCUGAAUACCUAGCCAAAUUGUUAGGAUACGUUUGGGAUGGCAUGCUUUAAAAUAUAAGUCAUGUGGGCAUAUAUAUAUUCUUUUCAGAGUACCAGCAUUCCUAUACAGUAGUAUGAAAUCUAUACACCUGUGUGUGUGUGUGUCUGUGUGUGUGUAUUUAGAGAACAGUGUGACACAUCAUUUUGAAAAGUCAAUGAGGUGAACUGAGAAAUAUACAUUCAACUUUUUUCCCCCCAAAUGAAGGACUACAUGUGUUUAUUAAUUUUCUAGUUGGUUGCUUUUAUUUUUUCCUGUGGAUAGAGAUAAGAAUAUAUAUCUAACAAAAGUGCAUCAUGAACUCAAAAAACCUUAGAUCCCUAUCAGCAAAAAUAUUUUUUAAGAAGAUACAUUUGAAAGAAUCUGAUAUUGGGGUGGAGAUAUGCGCUAUCAAGGGCAAAAGAGAUAGAGCAAAUUUUUGCAACCCAGAGAGAGAGGCUGUCAUUGUCCUUAGGAGAUAAAACCGAAGCCAAACAAGUGGGCUCUGGGACUGUGGACUGGAAGUGGUAUUUUCUAGCUUGUUUGGGUGAACGAUAGUCCAGAAAGAGCAAUGUCUGGUUAAUAAUAAGAAGAGACUCCUCAGUAGCAGUUUGCCAAACACCAGAACCAAAGAUGAUUUCCAACAUGAUUUAAUCCCUAUUUUGCUAAGAAAACAGUUAAGAAGGGUCACUGUAGCAAAUUCGCCAUUAAUUUAAACUCUGAUUUGGAAAAGGGAAGUGAAGUUACAAGCUGGACCAAUGGCAGGUCAGGUUUGAAUCAAUUAUUGCGCUCCCAGGAGAAAGGUUUUAUCUUUUAAAAUCCAAAUGUUAGAAAAAUGGCAUUCAAAUCUACACCAGUGUACGUUAAUAGAUUGUUAAAGAAAGAGAGUGAAUAUAUACCUCUGAAUUGUCACUAAUUUCCUCAAAGUAGGAAUUUAUAUUUUAAAUUUUUAAAAUUUUCUUCUUUCCUCCUCCUUUCUUCCUUUCUUUGUCUCUCUGACUCUCUGUUUAUGGAAAAUCACUGAUGGAGUUCAGGGCAGGCUACCCCAGAAUGUACCACUUUGGCAUGUGGAUUGUUUCAAGCUGAAGACAAUCAAGGCUCAACAGACUCAAGAACAGCUUUUACUUGUCUCUUAACUGCCUAAAAUAAUUUAGAUAAGGAGCCUGUACCAGGAAGAGAGCCAUUAGCGGAGAUAACUUCUUAUAUCAGAAAGACUUAUGCGCAUGACAUGGCAACCGUUUGUUUACCAAAUAUUUGCUCUUCCCAUCUUCCUGUGAAUCGUAUUCCUUCCCUUUGAAGCCUCAGACCCCUCUUCCCUUCUCCUUAACUCAGAAUGACUUAUAGGUUUCAAUUAUCUGACUGUCUGAGAGCCUGUCACAUCUUUGUGGGGCGCUUGUAUGUACAGAAUUAAAUUUGUUUUUCUCCUGUCAAUCUGUCUGAUGUCAAUUUAAUUACGAGGCAAGCCAAAGAACCUAGAAAGAAAGAUGGAAAAAGUUUUCCUCCUGUAUAUCACCAAAAAAAGAAGAAAAGCAGCUGCCUUCUCUCUCAUCAUCCAGUAGAGAACCAGGCCACUUCUCUUCACCACUGUCCUGAUUCUACGAGAAAUUCUCUGGUAUGGAGAAAACCAUCUGGGAAAACCUACUCACCACAGUAAAGGAAUGGAGGGCUCUCUUUGUAAUCUUGUAAUUCCAUUCACUAGAGAGUGAUGUUUUUAUGUUUGUGAAAUAGAUAGUGGUAUAUGUGUUUUUACUUCUAGAAAGUGAAAAAUAAAAUGAGUCAGCCUCUUAAAUGUCUCUCUUAUUAAUCCCUAUAUUUUUCUAUAAUCCAAAUAUUCAGAAAGACAUUUUCUGGUUUUACCCUGGAAAGUCCAGCAACCUGAAUGCAAAAUCUAUUAUAUGUGAAUCUCUGGCUCAAAAGUCUUCAUUGGUGUCCUGCUGUCUCCUAGAUUAAAUGUAAACUACUUAUCAUAGAAGCCAGAUGUGAAAACUGCACACAGAUUCAGAAAUCCACUAAUUCAGAAUGAAUGGGAUAAGGACAGAGAGAAACAAAUUUAAGAAGAUUCUAUCCUGAGUGUUCACCAGAAGUCAUUUACCUGGAUGUCCCCAAUUCCGCCAGACUGUUUGGCUCAUCUACUUUUUCAUUUCUUAAUACAAUUAUCUUCAAGGCUUUUUUGUUUAUAUGCUGGGGCACGGAACAAUGUUUCUAACAUAUCAGGAAAUUUUGGAGGGGUGUAUAUUUUCCUCUAAUUUCUCACUUCUGAUACAGUCUUGUUACAUGAUACUUGCUUUGAGUUUGGCUUCCUUUUUUUUUUAAACUGUUUUUGGAGAGGGUUUUAAUUUUUUUUUUUAAAGAUUGGCACCUGAGCUAACAACUGUUGCCAAUCUUCUUUUUUAUGUUUUUAUUCUUCUCCCCAAAGCCCCCCAGUACAUAGUUGUAUAUUCUGGCUGUAAGUGGCUCUGGCUGUGCUAUGCGGGAUGCUGCCUCAGCAUGGCUUGAUGAGCGGUGCCAUGUCCGUGCCCAGGAUCCGAACCGGCGAAACCCUGGGCUGCCGAAGCAGAGUGCGUGAACUUAACCACUUGGCCACGGGGCCGGCCCCUGAGUUUGGCUUCUUAAGCAUCUAUCUCUUGUCCAUUCGAAGUUUGUGUGCUAGGCAGAAGGUUAUAUGAAAAGUUUGAGUCAAUGAAAGAGGAAAUUAUUAUAUAUCAUAGCCUCCACCCAAACAAAAUUUAGUUUUAACAAUCCUUAUUUCUUAUGAGUCCCUCAGCCUUCUCUCCCUGUAGAGACACCGCGUCCAGUCCUGUAACUCGACCCCGUUCUCUGCUUCCCUUGACUCUUGAGCCUUUUCUGACUCAAAUCCAUAUCCGUGUCCAUUAAAGCAGGGUGACUACCUCUCUGUGCUGCUUAAGCUUUUGUCAAGACCAUUGCCUGGACAUAUCAUCUAAGGAAACUUUCAUUAGCUACCUGCUUCCAACUGAAUCCUUGAAAGUUAUGAUAGUACCAGAAAUUUCAAAUUCAGCCAAUGCUGUCCAUGUAUUUUUAAAUACAUCUUAGUCAAUUGGAAAGAAAAAU